GUAAGGUGUAAGUCAGGUGUGUUAGGUGUGUAAGGUGUAAGUCAGGUGUUUAAGGUGUAAGUCAGGUGUGUUAGGUGUGUAAGGUGUAAGUCAGGUGUUUAAGGUGUAAGUCAGGUGUUUAAGGUGUAAGUCAGGUGUAUAAGGUGUAAGUCAGGUGUGUAAGGUGUAAGUCAGGUGUCUAAGGAGUAAGUCAGGUGUGUUAGGUGUGUAAGGUGUAAGUCAGGUGUGUUAGGUGUAAGUUAGGUGUGUAAGAUGUAAGUCAGGUGUGUUAGGUGUGUAAGGUGUAAGUCAGGUGUUUAAGGUGUAAGUCAGGUGUGUUAGGUGUGUAAGGUGUAAGUCAGGUGUUUAAGGUGUAAGUCAGGUGUUUAAGGUGUAAGUCAGGUGUAUAAGGUGUAAGUCAGGUGUGUAAGGUGUAAGUCAGGUGUCUAAGGAGUAAGUCAGGUGUGUUAGGUGUGUAAGGUGUAAGUCAGGUCUUUAAGGUGUAAGUCAGGUCUUUAAGGUGUGUUAGCUGUGUAAGGUGUAAGUCAGGUGUGUAAGGUGUAAGUCAGGUGUGUUAGGUGUAAGUCAGGUGUGUUAGGUGUAAGUCAGGUGUGUAAGGUGUAAGUCAGGUGUGUAAGGUGUAAGUCAGGUGUGUUAGGUGUAAGUCAGGUGUGUAAGGUGUAAGUCAGGUGUGUAAGGUGUAAGUCAGGUGUGUAAGGUGUAAGUCAGGUGUUUAAGGUGUAAGUCAGGUGUUUAAGGUGUAAGUCAGGUGUGUAAAGUGUAAGUCAGGUGUUUAAGGUGUGUAAGGUGUAAGUCAGGUCUGUAAGAUGUGUGUUAUGUGUGUAAAGUGUAAGUCAGGUGUGUAAGGUGUGUGUUAGGUGUGUAAGGUGUAAGUCAGGUGUGUAAGGUGUGUGUUAGGUGUAAGUCAGGUCUGUAAGGUUUGUGUUAGGUGUGUAAAGUGUAAGUAAGGUGUGUGUUAGGUGUGUAAGGUGUAAGUCAGGUGUGUAAGGUGUGUCUUCGGUGUGUAAGGUGUAAGUCAGGUGUGUAAGGUGUGUGUUAGGUGUUUAAGGUGUAAGUCAGGUGUGUAAGGUGUGUGUUAGGUGUGUAAGAUGUGUGUUAUGUGUGUAAAGUGUAAGUCAGGUGUGUAAGGUGUGUGUUAGGUGUGUAAGGUGUAAGUCAGGUGUGUAAGGUGUGUGUUAGGUGUAAGUCAGGUGUGUUUGGUGUGUAAGGUGUAAGUCAGGUGUUUUAGGUGUGUUAGGUGUAAGUCAGGUGUGUUAGGUGUGUAAGGUGUAAGUCAGGUGUGUAAGGUGUGUUAAGUGUGUAAGGUGUAAGUCAGGUGUGUAAGGUGUAAGUCGGGUGUGUAAGGUGUGUGUUAGGUGUGUAAGGUGUAAGUCAGGUGUGUAAGGUGUGUGUUAGGUGUGUAAGGUGUAAGUCAGGUGUGUAAGGUGUGUGUUAGGUGUGUAAGAUGUAAGUCAGGUGUUUAAGGUGUGUUAGGUGUGUAAGGUGUAAGUCAGGUGUGUUAAGUGUGUAAGGUGUAAGUCAGGUGUGUAAGGUGUGUCUUAGGUGUGUAAGGUGUAAGUCAGGUGUGUAAGGUGUGUGUUAGGUGUGUAAGAUGUAAGUCAGGUGUUUAAGGUGUGUAAGGUGUAAGUCAGGUGUGUUAGGUGUUUAAGGUGUAAGUCAGGUGUGUUAGGUGUGUAAGGUGUAAGUCAGGUGUGUAAGGUGUGUGUAAGGUGUUAGUCAGGUGUGUGUUAGGUGUUUAAGGUUUAAGUCAGGUGUGUAAGGUGUGUGUAAGGUGUAAGUCAGGUGUGUAAGGUGUGUCUUAGGUGUGUAAGGUGUAAGUCAGGUGUGUAAGGUGUGUGUUGGAUGUGUAAGGUGUAAGUCAGGUGUGUAAGGUGUGUCUUCGGUGUGUAAGGUGUAAGUCAGGUGUGUGUUAGGUGUUUAAGGUGUAAGUCAGGUGUGUAAGGUGUAAGUCAGGUCUGUAAGGUUUGUGUUAGGUGUGUAAGGUGUAAGUCAGGUGUGUGUUAGGUGUUUAAGGUGUAAGUCAGGUGUGUAAGGUGUAAGUCAGGUCUGUAAGAUGUGUGUUAUGUGUGUAAAGUGUAAGUCAGGUGUGUAAGGUGUGUGUUAGGUGUGUAAGGUGUAAGUCAGGUGUGUAAGGUGUGUGUUAGGUGUGUAAGGUGUAAGUCAGGUGUGUAAGGUAUGUCAGUCAGGUGUUUAAGGUGUGUGUUAUGUGUGUAAAGUGUAAGUCAGGUGUGUAAGGUGUAAGAUGUGUGUUAUGUGUGUAAAGUGUAAGUCAGGUGUGUAAGGUGUGUGUUACGUGUGUAAAGUGUAAGUCAGGUGUGUAAGGUGUGUGUAAGGUGUAAGUCAGGUGUGUAAGGUAUGUGUUAGGUGUGUAAGGUGUAAGUCAGGUGUGUAAGGUGUGUGUUAGGUGUGUAAGGUGUAAGUCAGGUGUGUAAGGUGUGUCAGUCAGGUGUGUAAGGUGUAAGUAAGUCAGUCAGGUGUUUAAGGUGUAAGUCAGGUGGUGUAAUUUAGGUGUGUAAGGUGUGUCAGUUAGGUGGUUUAAGUCAGGUGUGUAAGGUGUAAGUCAGUCAGGUGGGUAAGGUUUAAGUCAGGUGGGUAAG